AUUUUCAAGAGCAUCAUUGACUGCAUAUCACUUUAAAGAGUCCAGUGGGAACAUCAUGGCUCCAUUUGCAGGGAUGUCUCUGAAGUCCAGAAGAGGCUCUUGCCUGUAGAGUCCUGGCUCAGUUCAUUUUCACUCACAGGUGGAUGAAGCAAAGCACAAGGAGGAACAGUGACCUGGAGGUGAGAUCCCAGAGGUGGCCUCUGGUUCUGGAUGACGGAAGGAACAGUUUCUGGACGCCUCAUUCACCAGCGGUGUGGUCUUCGACACUCUCUGCACUCUUUGGACUAUGUCUGCUUCAUCAGUGCCUUCAUCCCAACCAGCCCAAUGCCCGACACACGCAGGAACCAUGGUGUCAGAUGACCCAGUCUAGAAGUGCUUCUACUCCAGCCUGGACCAGAACCCUCAGAUUCUUCUGUUGGAACUGGGACACCAGCACAGUCUCAUUGAAGCUCCUCACAGGAACGGUUUGGCAGGCGGCUCGGGGCCCUGCUGUGAUGGCCAGUCUAACAGGCUUGUCGCACUGAUUGAUUAAACACGACAGGCGACCGGCGACAAGAGUGUGAAAAUUCCUUGCUCUGAUUGUCCUAAGGGUCUGGCACACUAAUGAAUGGGGUCUGAUGACAGCCCAGCUUCUCGAGUGCCUCCUCU
rnacentral:lncRNA from 1 species